UUUGGGAGAUGAUGAGAAAAUUCAAACAAAUUCAGAGGCAUCAGCUCUGCUGAGGAUUUAUUUUGCACGUCAGUCUGAUCCCGAA
rfam:Jatropha curcas cultivar GZQX0401 scaffold79_71, whole genome shotgun sequence.